rnacentral:rRNA from 1 species
AGAGUUUGAUCAUGGCUCAGAUUGAACGCUGGCGGCAGGCCUAACACAUGCAAGUCGAACGGUAACAGAACUAGCUUGCUAGUUGCUGACGAGUGGCGGACGGGUGAGUAAUACUUAGGGAUCUGCCUCUGUGUGGGGGAUAACUAUUGGAAACGAUAGCUAAUACCGCAUAACGUCUACGGACCAAAGAGGGCUUCGGCUCUCGCGCAGAGAGGAACCUAAGCGAGAUUAGCUUGUUGGUGAGGUAAAGGCUCACCAAGGCGACGAUCUCUAGCUGUUCUGAGAGGAAGAUCAGCCACACUGGGACUGAGACACGGCCCAGACUCCUACGGGAGGCAGCAGUGGGGAAUAUUGCACAAUGGGGGAAACCCUGAUGCAGCCAUGCCGCGUGUGUGAAGAAGGCCUUCGGGUUGUAAAGCACUUUCAGUUGUGAGGAAAGGUUAGUAGUUAAUACCUGCUAGCUGUGACGUUAACAACAGAAGAAGCACCGGCUAACUCCGUGCCAGCAGCCGCGGUAAUACGGAGGGUGCGAGCGUUAAUCGGAAUUACUGGGCGUAAAGCGCACGCAGGCGGUCUGUUAAGCUAGAUGUGAAAGCCCCGCGCUCAACGUGGGAGGGUCAUUUAGAACUGGCAGACUAGAGUCUUGGAGAGGGGAGUGGAAUUCCAGGUGUAGCGGUGAAAUGCGUAGAGAUCUGGAGGAACAUCAAUGGCGAAGGCAACUCCCUGGCCAAAGACUGACGCUCAUGUGCGAAAGUGUGGGUAGCGAACAGGAUUAGAUACCCUGGUAGUCCACACCGUAAACGCUGUCUACUAGCUGUUUGUGGAUUUAAUCCGUGAGUAGCGAAGCUAACGCGAUAAGUAGACCGCCUGGGGAGUACGGCCGCAAGGUUAAAACUCAAAUGAAUUGACGGGGGCCCGCACAAGCGGUGGAGCAUGUGGUUUAAUUCGAUGCAACGCGAAGAACCUUACCACCCCUUGACAUACUCGGAACUUUCUAGAGAUAGAUUGGUGCCUUCGGGAACCGAGAUACAGGUGCUGCAUGGCUGUCGUCAGCUCGUGUCGUGAGAUGUUGGGUUAAGUCCCGUAACGAGCGCAACCCUUGUCCUUAGUUGCCAGCACGUAAUGGUGGGAACUCUAAGGAGACUGCCGGUGACAAACCGGAGGAAGGUGGGGACGACGUCAAGUCAUCAUGGCCCUUACGACC